CAUUGAAGCACCGGUCUCUGUAUGAUCACCCAAGUUAAGCAACUUCAAGCCUGGUCAGUAUCUGCAUGGGUAACCAGUUGGGAAUACCAGGUGCUGUAAG